CCUACGGGAGGCAGCAGUAGGGAAUAUUGCUCAAUGGGGGAAACCCUGAAGCAGCAACGCCGCGUGGAGGAUGAAGGUUUUCGGAUUGUAAACUCCUUUUGUUAGAGAAGAUAAUGACGGUAUCUAACGAAUAAGCACCGGCUAACUCCGUGCCAGCAGCCGCGGUAAUACGGAGGGUGCAAGCGUUACUCGGAAUCACUGGGCGUAAAGAGCGCGUAGGCGGGAUAGCAAGUCAGAUGUGAAAUCCUAUGGCUUAACCAUAGAACUGCAUUUGAAACUGUUAUUCUAGAGUAUGGGAGGGGUAGGUGGAAUUCUUGGUGUAGGGGUGAAAUGCGUAGAGAUCAAGAGGAAUACUGAUUGCGAAGGCGACCUGCUAGAACGUAACUGACGCUGAUGCGCGAAAGCGUGGGGAGCAAACAGGAUUAGAUACCCGGGUAGUC
rnacentral:rRNA from 1 species